rnacentral:lncRNA from 1 species
UAGGAAUCCCUUGUUCCAGAUGUAUUGGCACAAAGUUUUAAACACUCCUAUUUAAAUCCAGGAUAUAGUAGUUUGCCCACCUUAUUCCUAGUUCUGCUUAUUGAGGUUUGCUUUGAUUCAUUUUAAUGUUAUUUAUAUACUCUGCUAUUUUUAAUAGUUUAAUUAGAUUGUUAUGUAUAUUAUGUUUUUAAAUGCAUUUUUUGUUGGUAACUCCAUUGUUGCUCAGUUUGGUCCCAGUUGUAAGACGCCCCAAGUCUCUUCGGGGAGAUGGUGAUGGGAUAUAAAAAUAAUGUUGUUGUUGUUGUUGUUGUUGUUCUUGUUGCUAUUAUUAUUAUUAUUAUUAUUAUUAUUAUUAUUAUUAUUGUGAGUUGGAUUAUUCUUGAAGUCUUACUCAGUCAAAGAAACUCGUGAGCGACCUUUAGCAAGUCACACAUUCUUAGUCUUAGAUGAAGGCAAUGAUAGACCUGUUUUGAAUAAAUGAUGCCAAAAAAUAUGAGGUGUUUGCCAUAUAGUGAUGUUGCCUUGAAGGCCUAUGAAAACAACCAUUUGAAUUUAUUAGGAAACCAUUGUUAUUAAUGACAGUUUAAUAUUUGCAGUUAUGUGGAUUGAACUAAAUGCCUUUUUAGUGUUAUGUGGCAAAGUAUAAAUAAAAACUUCAUUUUUUUUUUAAAUUAACAGUUAAGAAGAGCGUCAGAGUUGAAGAAAAGACUAAAAAGGAUGUGAAAGAAAGAAAACCAGAAACCAAGGCACCUGAAAGUGUGACGCCUAAGGAAACCAAAACAAAGGAAGCUGCACCACAGAAAGCUAAAGCAAAAGCAAAAGAAGAAGUGUCUUUGCAGCUUGCAGAAAAGUCGGAUACGAAAGGACCAACUCCUCAACUAUUUUUACCACAGACCCCAGCAAUUUCACCUGAAGUCCCAGCUUCUGCAGGCAAGUUAAACUUUCUUUCUUCAAAGAUUCUAAAACUUGUAUUAUAGUUCUUCUAACUUCCCCAUAAUCUUCUUGAACUGGGCUUCUCAGAAUUGAGCACAGC